UAACAUACCGGAUUUUAAAUAUAAAAAUGAAAAUAAAUAAAAAUAGUAUGAGAUACCAUUUUUAUUGGAUUUAGAGAAGUGAAAUAUAAGUUGGGAAUGACCUGUGCUGAAAUCAGAGCGAAAACAGAAGAUUUAGAAUUUUCUGUAAGAAACGGGGCAGAUAAAUUAGCAGAAACUGCACAGUGUUAGAAAAUUAUGUAAAUUGGCAGAGAUGUCAGAAAUAUUUUUAUGAGGCUAGAUUUAAAGUUUCAUAUUUUUCUGACACCCGUAGAGAGAGAAAUCGAAUUCGAAAGCUAUCUGAUAAAGAUUGCAGUUCGGUACAGUUUUCAGUGACCAAACGAGGUCGAAACUGAAAUAUUAAAAUUUCUUUGGACUUACGAAGUGAAACCGAACUUGCCUGCCAAAUUUGAGCUCAAACGGACAUCUGGAAGAGCUCCAACGAAAUUUAUCAGAUUUCAAGCUGCCUGAAGUGAAUAGUGCCUUGGGGUGCAUUAUAAAGAAGCUGAUGCUUCUUCUUCUUUCUCCUUCAGCCCGAGCACACACCCACGCACGCAUGGAGUAGAGAGAGAAACACCUCCACCUCUCUCUAGAUAUCUCUCUCAUCUCUCUAAAUCUCUCUCUAAAAAUUGGAGGGUUGGUGGAGAAGAUGCUUGCG
rnacentral:lncRNA from 1 species